rnacentral:rRNA from 1 species
AUUGAACGCUGGCGGCAUGCCUUACACAUGCAAGUCGAACGGCAGCGGACCUUCGGGUGCCGGCGAGUGGCGAACGGGUGAGUAAUGCAUCGGAACGUGCCAUUGAGUGGGGGAUAACGUAGCGAAAGUUGCGCUAAUACCGCAUAUUCUGUGCGCAGGAAAGCAGGGGACCGCAAGGCCUUGCGCUCUUUUGAGCGGCCGAUGUCAGAUUAGCUAGUUGGUGAGGUAACGGCUUACCAAGGCGACGAUCUGUAGCGGGUCUGAGAGGAUGAUCCGCCACACUGGAACUGAGACACGGUCCAGACUCCUACGGGAGGCAGCAGUGGGGAAUUUUGGACAAUGGGGGCAACCCUGAUCCAGCCAUGCCGCGUGAGUGAAGAAGGCC